rnacentral:rRNA from 1 species
CAGUCGUACCCUCGGGUAAUCAGCCUUUUGGGUGUGAUUUUGUGGAGUGUGAGGAGUUAAACGCCUUCAUGCCUGCAUAUUCGUGCACUUUGGGUGUAUUUGCCCGUGUGGUAAGUUAACAUCAAUUUUGGUGGUCAUAAAAUGGCUGGAGGAAUGUAGCUUCGAUCUCGUAUUGAAGUGUUAUAGCCUUCGGUAGAUGUGAUUAUCGGGAUUGAGGAUUGCAACGGAUACCCUUCGGGCUACCUGUCUGAUCUCUGAUCGUUGCUCUGGUGCCGAAAGCUUGCUUACGGUUAUCAAAGUCGAUGGUCAAUAGGUUAGAACGGGUUAAAUUCGUUAAGGAUGUUGACGUA